rnacentral:rRNA from 1 species
UACGUGGGGGCGAGCGUUGUCCGGAUUUCUUGGGCGUAAAGAGCGUGUAGGCGGCUUUGCAGGUCCGCUGUGAAAACUCGAGGCUCAACCUCGAGCUGUCGGUGGAAACCGUGAAGCUAGAGUCCGGAAGAGGAGAGUGGAAUUCCCGGUGUAGCGGUGAAAUGCGCAGAUAUCGGGAAGAACACCCGUGGCGAAGGCGGCUCUCUGGGACGGUACUGACGCUGAGACGCGAAAGCGUGGGGAGCGAACAGG